rnacentral:rRNA from 1 species
CACAGCCGCGGUAAUACGAAGGGGGCUAGCGUUGCUCGGAAUGACUGGGCGUAAAGGGCGCGUAGGCGGCGAUCAAAGUCAGGCGUGAAAUUCCUGGGCUCAACCUGGGGGCUGCGCUUGAUACUUGGUUGCUUGAGUGGGGAAGAGGGUCGUGGAAUUCCCAGUGUAGAGGUGAAAUUCGUAGAUAUUGGGAAGAACACCGGUGGCGAAGGCGGCAACCUGGUCCUUGACUGACGCUGAGGCGCGAAAGCGUGGGGAGCAAACAGGAUUAGAUACCCGCGUAGUCCCUGUCUCUUAUACC